CAAGUCGGACGGCAGCACAGAGAAGCUUGCUUCUUGGGUGGCGAGUGGCGAACGGGUGAGUAAUAUAUCGGAACGUACCGAGUAAUGGGGGAUAACUAAUCGAAAGAUUAGCUAAUACCGCAUAUUCUCUGAGGAGGAAAGCAGGGGACCUUCGGGCCUUGCGUUAUUCGAGCGGCCGAUAUCUGAUUAGCUAGUUGGUGGGGUAAAGGCCUACCAAGGCGACGAUCAGUAGUGGGUCUGAGAGGAUGAUCCGCCACACUGGGACUGAGACACGGCCCAGACUCCUACGGGAGGCAGCAGUGGGGAAUUUUGGACAAUGGGCGCAAGCCUGAUCCAGCCAUGCCGCGUGUCUGAAGAAGGCCUUCGGGUUGUAAAGGACUUUUGUCAGGGAAGAAAAGGUUGUUGCUAAUAUCGACAGCUGAUGACGGUACCUGAAGAAUAAGCACCGGCUAA
rnacentral:rRNA from 1 species